CGGAGGAACUGGCUACAUUGUUUGAGCCGCCUUCAGCCAAGGUCUCGGGCUGGCAUAAAUUGAGAGGGGCCGGGGCGCUUCUUCAGCCAGUCAGCUCCUGGCUCCCGAGCAGGUAAGGUCUCCCGGCCGGCGGCCGCCCUCGCCCUCUCACUCGCCUCCCUUGCCCCUUUCCCGCUUGGAGGCUUUGCAGGCCGGGCCCUCGGCUCCCACUCCAGGCCGGGCCCUCGGCUCAGGUAAGGUAUCGGCCCGGUCCGACUCUGCGCCCAGGUAAGAGGGACGCUUCCCUGCCCCUGCCCGUUCCCCUCGUGCCCGGGCAGCCAGGGGGAGCCCAGGGGGCGAGGCUGCAGGCGGGCAGCGGGCCUUCCGUUUGUCCCCGAGCUUUGGGGCCCCUGCAGGCGACUGUGGCUCAGCGCUGGGGGGGCGUCCGGGAAAGGCUGGGGGGUCCCUGCUCCCCGGGGCCGUGAGUCCGGGAAUCCUCGGGGUGAAGGAGUCUCCCGGCCCCCGACCACCCGCUCUCUCCCUGUGACCCAGGCGCCCUCGCCUCCAUCUCCUCGCGGCGGUGACAGCCCAGCUCAGAAUGGCUCGUGGUUCCUUUUUCCUAUGCAUAUACUUCUUUGAGAAUAAAUUCUAAAGAGGCGUAGGGCAUGGGAAAAUGGGGCCACGGAGCUCCUCCUCCUCCUCCUCCUCCUCCGGACCUCGGCUUCCUCCUCAGCGCUCUCCCGGCCGGCCCAGCUCCUUCCUCGCCCCUUUCCUUCUCCUUCCUCCCCAUCCUCCUCCUCCCCCUCUCCCCGCCUCCUCCCUGGAGCGCCCGCGGACGUCCAGCUUCACCCCAGCAGCCGCAGUAAGGUGGAGGUUCCGGCGCCAUCCCCUUCGCUCUCCCUUCCUGGAAGCCCCCGCCCCGCCAAGGCCCCAAGGGCACGGCCCCUGCUUGGGUGAAGAUGGGUGGGCAAAGUGGGGGCGCCUAGCGAGGAAGCCCCGGACGGGAGUCCGCCCCGGAGCCGGGCCGGGGGCUUGUGAGGGCACCGGCUCCAGUGAAUGCCCAGGGCCAGGGCUCAGCUUUAGAACCCGGGGGGAAGGGGGUUAUCCUGCCUGCACAUGACUCCAUGUGUUCAGUACCAGGACGGGACCAUGGUCCAGAGGCACCGGGCCAGAACCUGUGCCAGUGGAGCUUUGGCCCCGGCCCAGCCAGGACCUCGGAGGGCCUGGCUUCUCGGCGUGUCCCUCCCAGCCAGGCUUGGGGAGGCUCCUCCGGGCCCCCAGACCCUCUUCACAUGUGAAAUAUUAAUAAAAUCACGCUCCUUCCUGAA